CCGAGGUUGAUAGAUCAUAUCUUGAUGCGAUUUGGUUCUUACAAUGAAUAUACUACAACCAACAUACACCUCAGGAUUCCGAAUGACUAGAAGAUCGAGUUAUGGUGUAGUCAAAUUAUAACACACUCAAGGUGAACUGUCGAUGUACCUCAGGUCAAAGAACUAGACACACAGCUGCAGCAUCGAGCUAGUCAUCGACAAGGUGGACUUUCUUAUGACUGCUCGAGGUGGUCACGCUCAGUACUCUCAUUCUCAAUGAAUAUCUGUACUCUCACUC
rnacentral:lncRNA from 1 species